rnacentral:lncRNA from 14 species
CUCAAAAGACUCUAUAAGACUGUGGUGUUAAAAGGCUUUCCUCUGGAGAAAGAGAAACAAAUCAACUGGAACUUAAAAGCUUGAAAUUCCAUGACAAAACACAGAUGUCCAGGAUUGGAGUUCGUGAAGUAUCUGCAGUAAUUGGAGUGGAUACGCUUUUCACUGGAGCUACCACCAUGAACUCCAGGGUCCCAGAUUUUCAAGAAGUGGACCUGUGACCCAGAAGAGCUUGUCAAGAUAUGACAGAACUCUGGAGGUGGACGUUUUGUAUUCGAUUUUGGAACUGCUAUCUUGCCGUGAGUAAAGAGGCAACAACUCACCCAGCACUGCCACCAGCACUGUCACUGGGAACUUGAAGACCCAAGCUUCUGUCCAGACCCUCAGUGCAAACUGACAACACUCCAUCCAAAGUGAACUACGUCCCGUGCCUCCUGAUUGCUGAAUGUUCAUUCACCUGGACCGUCCAAUGACCUUCCUUCUGCUACUCCAUCAGCCUACAGACCUGGUACUUGGAUUUUUGUCCAUGGUGAUUCCUACCACCUUACUACUGAAGAAGACACCAUUCCAGUGGACCACUGUGACCCAAGAAGCAUUCAGCCAUCAUGAUGUGGCCUUUACCUCCACUCCUGUCUACUCUGCCCAGAUUCAGCACAGCCCUUUAUAGUGCAGUCAAGAGUCUUCAAGCCAAAUAACUGAAGCUAUUUUAUCACAACAAAGGCCAAGUUUAUUCCAUAAAUGUACAGUUCAUUUCUGCAGUUUAUUCUUCAGAGACACAUAGUAAACUUGGACCAGGGGAUUUUGUUUUGUUUAUAUUGUCAACACUGAAGAAAGGCAUCAUCUCUGAGAACUCCACAAUCUCAAAUGACUGAAGUUUCAUGAACUGCCUAGGAUCCUGUCAAGGUCACUGGACUCUUAAUUUUCCUACUUCAAAUCUAUAGCUGUCUACUGAAUGAGAAAGCAGAUAUUCUGACCCAUUGGGAUUGAAACCAAGGCAUAUUGAAUUCCUCAUAGUAUCAUCUGUGGGUUACUCAGGAACCAAAACUUUUAACACCAAUUUAAGAAAUUCUACUGAGGAAUCCCUUUAUCUAACCAUCUCACAAGGCUUCAACCAGAUUCCUGAAAAGACCUCUUGAUAUAUCAAGAUAGAACUUACAUGCAUUUUGUGAACAACUUAUCACUGAUUUAACAAAGGCUUUGUGCUCAUGAAGUUCUUUGAAGGGGCGCUCUAUGGAAGUCCAGAGUAACGUGAAGCUGCUCUCGAUGAAGAAGUGAAGUGGGAAUUGAGGACUGCAACCUGCCACAACCAUCUUUACCACCAUGGUGAUGCCUAAAGGGACUUCCUUAUGUAAAAUUCUUCAGAAAAUACUGCUUGAAACCACUACCCUAGAAAAACGUGUUUGACAUGAAUGGCAUUCUCUUCUUUUAUGUACUUCUAACUCAGAACAGUUCAUAUUCAGUUGAAGAUGCUUUAUCCAGAGAAUGAUAACUACAGCAUUGUCUAAUGAAGUUUUAAUAGCAUUCCAUCCAAGGUGGACUUCCUGGAGUUGGAUAUAACCAGAGAACAAUUCAUAUGUAUCCUACACUGAAGAACCCCAUUAACUUUCAGAAACCUAAAACUAGUGGUACUGGAAGUACGUGACUUGGAAGUCUGUGUAAAUUGCCUGAGAGCUGGUAUUGAAGCUGAUGCCUCCUCGAGGCCAUCUUAGACCAAGUUGUUCGGUUGUUAACUAUGGUACUCCAUGUACAAAGGAUAACCAUUAACUAUGAAGCAGAAUUGAAAUACAAUUUUUCCUAAAGGGACUUGCAACCUGGUUAUUCAUUGUCUCGAGUUUCAAGUCAUUUUGAUGCAACUAGUAGUUAUUAAACUGCUCCAUGUCUUUUUGUUAUUU